rnacentral:misc_RNA from 1 species
CAUGACAAAAGCAAGUUGAGAAAGGUAACAGAACGAGUUCGCCCUCAGAUUACACCAAAAUUAGAUGAAAGAGAUUUGCUACUAGAACAAAUACGAACUAAGUCCUUUAACUUGAAGCCUGCGGCUGUGAUGAGGCCUAGCAUUCAGGGUAUUCAGGAUAUCAGGAUACAAAAACCAACUUGAAGGUUGCGGCCAUAUUGGAGAAAGCAAAUGCAAUUCGCCAGGCUUUGGCUGGAAGUGAUGAAGACGAUGAUACAGACAGCUGGAGCGAGUGAUUCUUGAGAAAACUUGCUCAAGUGCAGCAUUUUACCGUGGUGGUUAAUGCCUGCUUUAGAUACACAUUAAUUCUCCCCAAAAGUGAAUAGCAAUCACUGCAGUUUGGGUAAAGUGAAUAGCAACCACUGCAGUUUGGGUAUUCUUUUCCGCUCUACGCUAUAAAUUCAUGUAUAGACUUUCUGUUCCACUCGUCUUCCUUGUCACACAUAGUUGUUGAAGAUGCACCGGUUGGUAUGCUGCCCCCUGCUCUUUCUCAGGAACCCAAUCCAAGGCUUACAAGAAUGGCUCAGCGUGCAAGCGCUUAUCCAGUCAAAAUGUGUGUAUAACUGUAUUAGUAUCUCAGUGGGUGUAAAUUUUGUUGGAGUGGCGUAAAUUUUGAGGUGAAGCGCUCAUAUAAUGAAAUUUUGUAAUUUGUAUGUAGGGAUUUCGUUAUAUACACCUCUGCCCCAAUUAGAAUGUUCUCUAGUUUAUGGAAUGAUUGUAUGAGGUUUGCAUGAUUCUUUACAGAAUUAUGGAUGUACUGGCAC